AAGCGUGCGCAGGCGGUUAUAGUAAGACAGAUGUGAAAUCCCCGGGCUCAACCUGGGAACUGCAUUAGUGACUGCAUAGCUGGAGUACGGCAGAGGGGGAUGGAAUUCCGCGUGUAGCAGUGAAAUGCGUAGAUAUGCGGAGGAACACCGAUGGCGAAGGCAAUCCCCUGGGCCUGUACUGACGCUCAUGCACGAAAGCGUGGGGAGCAAACAGGAUUAGAUACCCUUGU
rnacentral:rRNA from 1 species